rnacentral:rRNA from 1 species
UGGUCAAGCGAGAAAGUGCGCACGGCGGAUGCCUAGGCACAGACCGGCGAAGAAGGACGUGGCAAGCUGCGAAAAGCCUCGGGGAGUUGCAAGCAAGCUUAGAUCCGGGGGUGUCCGAAUGGGGAAACCCGGCGGGAGCAGUCCCGUCACCCUGCCACAGGGAGCCAACCCAGGGAACUGAAACAUCUAAGUACCUGGAGGAAAAGAAAUCAAUCGAGAUUCCCAGAGUAGCGGCGAGCGAAAAGGGAACAGCCCAAACCCGGGUGAGGAGACUCAACCGGGGGUUGUGGGGCCGCAUCGCGAGGCGAACCGAAGCAUAGCGGAACGGUACUGGAACGUACGACCGCAGAGGGUGAGAGUCCCGUACGCGAAAUGCGAGUAGGUGAGCUGAUGCGGACCCCGAGUAGGCCGGGACACGUGGAACCCUGGCUGAAUCCGGGAGGACCAUCUUCCAAGGCUAAAUACGAGUCUGUGACCGAUAGUGAAGAGUACCGUGAGGGAAAGGUGAAAAGAACGCCUGACGGCGAGUGAAAUAGACCCUGAAACCGUGUGCAUACAAGCGGUCGGAGCCCGGCCCGGAUCUUCGGAUACCGGGGAUGGGUGACGGCGUGCCUUUUGCAUUAUGAUCCGGCGAGUUACUCCUCAUGCGCGAGGUUAAGGGCCUCAGGUCCGGAGCCGAAGCGAAAGCGAGUCUGAACAGGGCGACGAGUGCAUGGGGGUAGACCCGAAACCGAAGCGAUCUAUCCAUGGCCAGGGUGAAGCCGGGGUAACACCUGGUGGAGGCCCGAACCGUUGUGGGUUGAAAACUGCUCGGAUGAGCUGUGGAUAGGGGUGAAAGGCCAAUCAAGCUCGGAGAUAGCUGGUUCUCCCCGAAAUAUAUUUAGGUAUAGCCUCAGGUAAUUGUCUCGAGGAGGUAGAGCACUGGAUGGGCUAGGGGCCUUACCAGGUUACCGAACUCAACCAAACUCCGAAUACCUUUGAGAUUUAUCCUGGGAGUCAGUGAGCGGGCGAUAAUGUGCGGUCGCGAGAGGGAAAGAGCCCAGACCGUCAGCUAAGGCCCCCAAAUCUGUGCUAAGUGAGAAAGGAUGUGGAUGUGCCCAGACAACUAGGAGGUUGGCUUAGAAGCAGCCAUUCCUUUAAAGAGUGCGUAAUAGCUCACUAGUCAAGUGGAUCCGCGCCGAUAAUGGUCGGGACUAAAGCACGGUGCCGAAGCUACGGAUGACGCAAGUCAUGGUAGGGGAGCAUUCCCUGGUCAGCGAAGCGGACUCGGAAGAGCAUCCGUGGAGAGCAGGGAAGAGAGUAUGCCGGAAUGAGUACGCGAUAAACAGGGUGAGAAUCCCUGUCACCGAAAGCCUAAGGGUUCCGGAGCCAGGCUUAUCCGCUCCGGGUUAGUCGGUCCCUAAGCCGAGGCCGAAGGGCGUAGGCGAUGGGAAACAGGUUAAUAUUCCUGUACCGUUCAGGUAGCGUUCGACCAUGAGGGGGGACGCGGGAGUGACAGGACCGUCGGGUGGUGGAAUAUCCGAUGUAAGGUGGUAGGCGUUGAGAGGGGAUAAAAGACCUCUUUAGCCGAGCGCCGAUGCCGAUGGGAAAUAUUCCCUCAAAGGGUCCGUAAUCAUGCCGCCGAGAAAAGCCUCGCAUGGGAGGUGCCUGAGCGACCGUACCGCAAACGGACACACGUAGGCGAGGCGAGUAGCCUAAGGUGCUCGAGUGAUCCGCGGAGAAGGAACUCGGCAAAAUGUCCCCGUAACUUUGGGAGAAGGGGAGCCUGCAUUAGGUGAACCACGGUGCGUGGGGAGCCGACCCAGGCCGCAGAGAAUCGGCCCAAGCGACUGUUUAUUAAAAACACAGGUGUCUGCAAAGUCGGUUAAGACGACGUAUAGGCACUGACGCCUGCCCGGUGCCGGAAGGUUAAAGGGAGGUGUUAGGGGCAACUCGAAGCUCCGAACUGAAGCCCCGGUAAACGGCGGCCGUAACUAUAACGGUCCUAAGGUAGCGAA